rnacentral:rRNA from 1 species
GCAUAUCAAUAAGCGGAGGAAAAGAAACCAACAGGGAUUGCCCUAGUAACGGCGAGUGAAGCGGCAACAGCUCAAAUUUGAAAUCUGGCCCUCGGGUCCGAGUUGUAAUUUGUAGAGGAUGCUUUUGGUGAGGUGCCUUCCGAGUUCCCUGGAACGGGACGCCAUAGAGGGUGAGAGCCCCGUCUGGUUGGAUACCGAGCCUCUGUAAAGCUCCUUCGACGAGUCGAGUAGUUUGGGAAUGCUGCUCUAAAUGGGAGGUAUAUGUCUUCUAAAGCUAAAUACCGGCCAGAGACCGAUAGCGCACAAGUAGAGUGAUCGAAAGAUGAAAAGCACUUUGAAAAGAGAGUUAAAAAGUACGUGAAAUUGUUGAAAGGGAAGCGCUUAUGACCAGACUUGGGCUUGGUUGAUCAUCCUGGGUUCUCCCUGGUGCACUCUUCCAGUUCAGGCCAGCAUCAGUUCGCUGCGGGGGAUAAAAGUUUUGGGAAUGUGGCUCCCUCGGGAGUGUUAUAGCCCAUUGCAUAAUACCCUGCUCCGGACUGAGGUUCGCGCAUCUGCAAGGAUGCUGGCGUAAUGGUCAUCAGCGACCCGUCUUGAAACACGGACCAAGGAGUCGUCUUCGUAUGCGAGUGUUCGGGUGUUAAACCCCUACGCGUAAUGAAAGUGAACGCAGGUGAGAGCUUCGGCGCAUCAUCGACCGAUCCUGAUGUUCUCGGAUGGAUUUGAGUAAGAGCAUACGGGGCCGGACCCGAAAGAAGGUGAACUAUGCCUGUAUAGGGUGAAGCCAGAGGAAACUCUGGUGGAGGCUCGCAGCGGUUCUGACGUGCAAAUCGAUCGUCAAAUAUGGGCAUGGGGGGCGAAAGACUAAUCGAACCUUCUAGUAGCUGGUUUCCGCGA